rnacentral:rRNA from 1 species
UACGGAGGGUGCGAGCGUUAAUCGGAAUGACUGGGCGUAAAGGGUGCGUAGGCGGCGAGAUCAGUCAGUCGUGAAAUCCCUGGGCUUAACCUGGGAAUGGCGAUUGAAACGGUAGCGCUAGAGUGGGUCAGAGGAUCGUGGAAUUCCGGGUGUAGCGGUGAAAUGCGUAGAUAUCCGGAGGAACACCGAUGGCGAAGGCAGCGGUCUGGAGCCACACUGACGCUGAGGCACGAAAGCGUGGGGAGCAAACAGG